CUAUCGGUGUUCUCUUAUUGUGUAGGACCUUCUCCGUCCAGUCGAGAAUUUUGGUCUAGAAUUCCUCAUAAGUCAUAUAUGCUUCAACAUGAGUUUCUUGGUGCAGAAUACUAUGAGAAGGAUCAUGGUGGUAUCGUUUGAGCAUGGAAACAUGAAAAAUAUUGAUACAAACCUAUGAACUCUGGUGGUAGAGCAAGGCAGUAAGUCAUGGGUUUAACACAUUCCAAAAUCUUGAAAGGUCCCACAAAUCUAGGACUCAGUUUCCCGCCUUUUUUUUUAAACUGCAUUUUACCUUUAUAUGAGAAAACUUUAAGGAAGACAUGGUCACUUACAACAAAAUGCAGCAGUCUCCUAUUGUUGUCUGCAUAACUCUUCAUACGACUCUGAACAGUGGUAAAGUUCCGGCAGAUAAUGGCAACCUUGUC
rnacentral:lncRNA from 1 species